CCCUUAGACACUCUAGGCGGCACGCGCGCUACAAUGGGUGGAAGAACGUGUUACUGCCUCCGAAAGGAGGGGUGAAUCACGAAUUCUUGCCCGUGAAUGGGAUAGUUUGUUGCAAUUUUCGGACUUGAACUAGGAAUCCCUUGUAAACAUGCUCAAGAAUAGCGUGUUGAAUACGUCCCUGCCCUUUGUACACACCGCCCGUCGCUCCUACCGAUCGAAGAGUUAGGUGAAUUGUUUUGAUCGAUAAGAUUUGACUAUGGUCAACUCUCGUUGUGAAAUUCUGUGAAUCUGACUGUUUAGAGGAAGGAAAAGUCGUAACA
rnacentral:rRNA from 1 species